AAAGCUCGCAAUACUUCAAUCUGAAAUCCUCAUUCAACUGUUUACAAAUCCCGAAAUCCAACAACACUAACGAAAAUCCAUUCUUCCCUUCAGGAGAAACCAAUAUAUUACCAGGAUGUAAAUCCCCAUGAAGAAAACCAUGAACAAAAAUCAUUUCUGCAAAUACUUCUGCCAAUGUUUUUGCAACCUUGACUUCACUAAUUCCUCUUUCCUUCAGAAACUCCAAGUCAUCGACUUUACGACCUCUGCAAAACUCCAUCGUCAUAACCUGCCUUGUCGUAAAACCCCAAAACACAUUCGGAACCCUAACCAUAGAAUUAUCCUUAAAAUUUUCCCUAAUCCUCUCCAAAUUUUUAGCCUCUGCAAUAAAAUCAAGCUCAGAUGCAAUAGAUUUUUCAAAUUCAGUUACAAGCCAUUGAAACCUAUAUCCAGGGAAGAUCCAUCCAACCAAUUUCGAUAACAAAGACAUAGUUACAAGGUCAAAUUUCAUUUGAUACUCCAGUCCAGGAUACUGCACCUUCACCGCCACUUCCUGACGGUCUUUUACUAAAACAGCAUGGUGUACUUGAGCAAUAGAUGCAGCAGCAACCGGAACCUCAUCAAAGGAGAAAAAAACCUCCGAUAAACAAUUUAAACCUAAAUUACUAACUAACACUUGUUUAAUCGAUUCAAACUGAAAAGGAAUAGCAUGAUCCUGUAAUGAAGAAAGUGUUGUUGAGUAUUCUUUUGGUACUUGCCUAAUGGCAGCAACAAACUGACCUGCCUUGAUGUAAAUACCUUUAUUUGCUUCACACAUCGUUAGAAUUCUUUUCGCUGAUCGUAGAUGCAGUUCGGAGAGAGUAAGGCGAUAGUCUUCGGAGUGAGGAUUGAGUCCGUACAGUGCGAACUUGUAGUCGAUGACAGUGGAAGUUAUGGUAAAGAGAGCUCGGGAGGACCGAACGACCCCGUUGAUGAAAGGGGAAUCAGUGGAAGAAAGGAAUGAGUUAGGAGUUAGGGUUUGGAAAGUAAUUCCGGCGCCGGCAAUGACGCCGGCGAUCAGGUAUUUUUUGAAUAUCCG
rnacentral:misc_RNA from 1 species